rnacentral:rRNA from 1 species
AUACGGAGGGUGCAAGCGUUAAUCGGAAUUACUGGGCGUAAAGCGCGCGUAGGCGGCUUUGUAAGUCGGAUGUGAAAGCCCCGGGCUUAACCUGGGAAUUGCAUUCGAUACUGCAGAGCUAGAGUAUGGUAGAGGGAAGUGGAAUUUCCGGUGUAGCGGUGAAAUGCGUAGAUAUCGGAAGGAACACCAGUGGCGAAGGCGACUUCCUGGGCCAAUACUGACGCUGAGGUGCGAAAGCGUGGGGAGCAAACAGGAUUAGAUACCCCAGUAGUCC